rnacentral:rRNA from 1 species
GACGAACGCUGGCGGCGCGCCUAACACAUGCAAGUCGAACGGAGUAAUUUCAGCGGAAGUCUUCGGAUGGAAGCGGAUUUUGCUUAGUGGCGAACGGGUGAGUAACACGUGAGGAACCUGCCUUCAAGAGGGGGACAACAGUUGGAAACGACUGCUAAUACCGCAUAAGACCACAGUGUCGCAUGGCACAGGGGUCAAAGGAGCAAUCCGCUUGAAGAUGGACUCGCGCCCGAUUAGCUAGUUGGUGAGGUAAUGGCUCACCAAGGCAACGAUCGGUAGCCGGACUGAGAGGUUGAACGGCCACAUUGGGACUGAGACACGGCCCAGACUCCUACGGGAGGCAGCAGUGGGGAAUAUUGCACAAUGGAGGAAACUCUGAUGCAGCGACGCCGCGUGAGGGAAGAAGGUCUUCGGAUUGUAAACCUCUGUCUUUGGGGACGAUAAUGACGGUACCCAAGGAGGAAGCCACGGCUAACUACGUG